UGGGGAAUUUUGGACAAUGGGGGAAACCCUGAUCCAGCCAUCCCGCGUGUGCGAUGAAGGCCUUCGGGUUGUAAAGCACUUUUGGCAGGAAAGAAACGUCAUGGGUUAAUACCCCGUGAAACUGACGGUACCUGCAGAAUAAGCACCGGCUAACUACGUGCCAGCAGCCGCGGUAAUACGUAGGGUGCAAGCGUUAAUCGGAAUUACUGGGCGUAAAGCGUGCGCAGGCGGUUCGGAAAGAAAGAUGUGAAAUCCCAGAGCUCAACUUUGGAACUGCAUUUUUAACUACCGGGCUUGAGUGUGUCAGAGGGAGGUGGAAUUCCGCGUGUAGCAGUGAAAUGCGUAGAUAUGCGGAGGAACACCGAUGGCGAAGGCAGCCUCCUGAGAUAACACUGACGCUCAUGCACGAAAGCGUGGGGAGCAAACAGG
rnacentral:rRNA from 1 species